rnacentral:rRNA from 1 species
UACGUAGGGGGCAAGCGUUAUCCGGAUUUACUGGGUGUAAAGGGAGCGUAGACGGCGCGGCAAGUCUGAAGUGAAAGGCAGGGGCUUAACCCCUGAACUGCUUUGGAAACUGCCAUGCUAGAGUGCUGGAGAGGUAAGUAGAAUUCCUAGUGUAGCGGUGAAAUGCGUAGAUAUUAGGAGGAACACCAGUGGCGAAGGCGGCUUACUGGACAGUAACUGACGUUGAGGCUCGAAAGCGUGGGGAGCAAACAGG